CUUCGGGUGAAGGCGGCGGACGGGUGAGUAACGCGUAAAGAACUUGCCUUACAGACUGGGACAACAUUUGGAAACGAAUGCUAAUACCGGAUAUUAUGAUUGGGUCGCAUGAUCUGAUUAUGAAAGCUAUAUGCGCUGUGAGAGAGCUUUGCGUCCCAUUAGUUAGUUGGUGAGGUAACGGCUCACCAAGACGAUGAUGGGUAGCCGGCCUGAGAGGGUGAACGGCCACAAGGGGACUGAGACACGGCCCUUACUCCUACGGGAGGCAGCAGUGGGGAAUAUUGGACAAUGGACCAAAAGUCUGAUCCAGCAAUUCUGUGUGCACGAAGAAGUUUUUCGGAAUGUAAAGUGCUUUCAGUUGGGAAGAAGUCAGUGACGGUACCAACAGAAGAAGCGACGGCUAAAUACGUGCCAGCAGCCGCGGUAAUACGUAUGUCGCAAGCGUUAUCCGGAUUUAUUGGGCGUAAAGCGCGUCUAGGCGGCUUAGUAAGUCUGAUGUGAAAAUGCGGGGCUCAACCCCGUAUUGCGUUGGAAACUGCUAAACUAGAGUACUGGAGAGGUAGGCGGAACUACAAGUGUAGAGGUGAAAUUCGUAGAUAUUUGUAGGAAUGCCGAUGGGGAAGCCAGCCUACUGGACAGAUACUGACGCUAAAGCGCGAAAG
rnacentral:rRNA from 1 species